rnacentral:ribozyme from 1 species
UUUCUCUUUCUCUUCCUCUUUUCUCUUUCUUUUCUUUUCUCCCUUUUCUUCCCAAUCAGACGACAUGGCCAAGAGAACAAAGAAGGUCGGAAUCAC